rnacentral:rRNA from 1 species
GUAGGUGGCGAGCGUUGUCCGGAUUUACUGGGCGUAAAGAGCGCGCAGGCGGCUGGUCAAGUCCGAUGUGAAAGCUCCCGGCUUAACUGGGAAAUUGCAUCGGAAACUGAUCGGCUGGAAGGUGGGAGAGGGUAGCGGAAUUCCCGGUGUAGUGGUGAAAUGCGUAGAUAUCGGGAGGAACACCAGUGGCGAAAGCGGCUACCUGGCCCAUUCUUGACGCUGAGGCGCGAAAGCUAGGGGAGCAAACGGGAUUAGAUACCCCGGUAGUCCUAGCCGUAAACGAUGAACACUAGGCGUAGUCGGUAUCGACCCCGGCUGUGCCGUAGCCAACGCAUUAAGUGUUCCGCCUGGGGAGUACGGCCGCAAGGCUA